UCCGGCGUAGCACAGUGGUAGUGCAACUCCCUGUUAAGGAGUGGGUCGUAGGUUCGAAUCCUACCGCCGGAG
rnacentral:tRNA from 1 species